ensembl:lncRNA
GUUAGUAUUAAUAUUUCAUAACUGUUCUAUCUGCUAAUUUCUACAAGUCAUGUUGACAUGAAAUAUUUAACACUAAACUGCCAGGUCUCUACCUCAAGAAGGUAUCAUUGCACUUUGUACUUCUUUAGAAGUAUAACUUGGCAAAUAGAUUACAGUGUUUUGUGGCCUAGUUAAUAAUACUGGUAAAUAUAUAUGAAUUUAAGCCUGCAGUAAUAAACCGUAUUUUCCAUAUUACCUCUUAAAUGUUUUGUUUUAGAAAACGUAAUUGCCUCAAAUUUAUUUUAGAUAUAAAGAAAGUGGAAAUUUUAAUAGAAAAAAUUUAUAGACUUUCUGACCCCUGACUUUUCACUUGUAGGUAUUUCAAAGUUGCAGCAGCCGAAUAGAAAGCUGAGUAACAUUAUUCUUCAUUGUACUCUGCCAGAUUUCAUAUCAUAGUUCAAUGGAGUUGUUUAAAAAAAAAAAGCCUAUGAAAGCCUUUAUUACAAUAUAAAUAAAGCUUGGAAGGAGAUUUCUGAGCUGUUAAGAUUCAGCUUUCUCAAGGCAUAAUCCCCACAGGUAUUUGGAAUAUAAAAGAUUUUAGAGUAUUCACCGUCAGCUUUUUAGGAAGGGACUAUAAAGUUUUGUAGCUUAUUCUUAAUUUUCCUAUGCAUAAUAAAUUGUCCAAGUAUAUACCUUUUUCUGUCAUUUCAUUAACUCCAAAAUAACCAGAAAGACAUUUGUCCUCAUUAAAUCAAAUGCUAAAUUAAUCAGUAUUUUGAAUUCAUAGUUUCUUAAACACUUACUAUGUACCAGGUGGUAUGCCUGACAGGGGCCGACUACAAUACCAGAGGGAAAGCUUACAUUCUAGGAAGGUAAGUCCAGUUUACUGUCUUCUGUAUAGCCUGUUGAAGAAAAUUAACUUCUUAAAUUUGCAGCAAUUGGUAUUCUCUUUUCAUUUUUAAAUGUGAACAUUUCAAGGGUCUGAUUGCUUAAUCCUUUAAUGAGUAUUACGACUUUACCAAUUUUAGAGCGAAUAGAAUGUGGUGUGUUUGCUUUUGCAAUGUUAGUGAAACCCAGUACUCAUUCCCCUAGGUAAACGCAAAUGCAUUAAUGCUAGGAUACUUAAUUUAAACACUAAGAAAUGUUUGCCACUUUUGUUUAUUCUUUUAUAGAAAGUUAAUACCUUUGCAUGAAAAAAUUAUUGGUGGAAUGUGUAAUCCAUAUGCAUUUACACACCUUUCCAGUUAAGUGAUGAACUUGAUGAGAGCCUGUCACUGUUGCUCCUUAAUCAGUAGGAAGGGGUCAUCUUUGAGUGACGUGAGGCACUCUUUCCCUCAGGCGCUUAUCACGUAGCUUCCACACCAGUCGUACCUCUUGCUGAUGUGGAGCUUGCAAACUUCAGAAUGAUAAUUGUUUUUAUAGCAAAUGUGGAUUGAGUCAUUAAUUUGGAAAUCAAAUUACGCUGUCAAAAAAUUCACUUUGUAGGUUAAAAGAAAUUGUGGUAGGAUGAUACACUUUGAUAUUUCCUCUGAUUCACAGGACUAUUAGACUAUAAAUUAGAAAAGACUGUGGUAUUGUUAGGUUUUAAGCAUAUAUCUUUUAGGGUACUACAAAUCCCAAUAAAUGAA